rnacentral:rRNA from 1 species
AGAGUUUGAUCCUGGCUCAGGACGAACGCUGGCGGCGUGCUUAACACAUGCAAGUCGAACGGAAAGGCCCUUUCGGGGGUACUCGAGUGGCGAACGGGUGAGUAACACGUGGGUGAUCUGCCCUGCACUUCGGGAUAAGCUUGGGAAACUGGGUCUAAUACCGGAUAGGACUACGAGAUGCAUGUCUUGUGGUGGAAAGCUUUUGCGGUGUGGGAUGGGCCCGCGGCCUAUCAGCUUGUUGGUGGGGUGAUGGCCUACCAAGGCGACGACGGGUAGCCGGCCUGAGAGGGUGUCCGGCCACACUGGGACUGAGAUACGGCCCAGACUCCUACGGGAGGCAGCAGUGGGGAAUAUUGCACAAUGGGCGCAAGCCUGAUGCAGCGACGCCGCGUGGGGGAUGACGGCCUUCGGGUUGUAAACCUCUUUCACCAUCGGCGAAGCCGGGGGCUUUUGUUUUCGGUGACGGUUGGUGGAGAAGAAGCAC